CUAACUCAUAUCUUGACGAAUCAAUGUCAGAGUGAGGCAGUAUUUCAGGGAAUCGCCGAUCAGUGAGCACGAGUGCCUCUGUGUUGUCCUAUUGGUAGGAUUUCCUGAUAUCAGCCACUGUUGGUGUGGGCAUGAGAGGAAGUAAGCAGCGAUAACCUGAUCGUUUCCGGAACACAGGCCGGUACGGCAGCGUCUAUCCGAAAGGGAAAUCUCGGCCGCUGCUCGACCUACUCUUCCGGCUCCAUAAGCUAGCUUUACAUCAAGCCGCUGCCUGAACCCGGAUCCAGGCGGAAAGAGGGGCCUCUGGCUGCUACGGCUUGGUUUUAAAACUCUCUGUCGGAUUUCUGGAGCGACAUCCUGCUGAGAUGGAGAGCCUUAGGGAAGCGCUGGAGAAGCUGAAGCUGGCGUCUACAGACAAUACCACUGACAGCACGGAGAGCAGCCUGGACUGCCUGCUGAGCGCACUCACCCAAAACA